CCUACGGGAGGCAGCAGUGGGGAAUAUUGGGCAAUGGACGCAAGUCUGACCCAGCAACGCCGCGUGAAGGAAGAAGGCUUUCGGGUUGUAAACUUCUUUUAAGGGGGAAGAGCAGAAGACGGUACCUCUUGAAUAAGCCACGGCUAACUACGUGCCAGCAGCCGCGGUAAUACGUAGGUGGCAAGCGUUGUCCGGAUUUACUGGGUGUAAAGGGCGUGCAGCCGGAGAGACAAGUCAGGUGUGAAAUCCACGGGCUCAACCCGUGAACUGCAUUUGAAACUGUUUCCCUUGAGUGUCGGAGAGGUAAUCGGAAUUCCUAGUGUAGCGGUGAAAGGCGUAGAUAUUAGGAAGAACACCAGUGGCGAAGGCGGAUUACUGGACGAUAACUGACGGUGAGGCGCGAAAGCGUGGGGAGCAAACAGGAUUAGAUACCCCUGUAGUC
rnacentral:rRNA from 1 species